rnacentral:precursor_RNA from 7 species
GCCUGGCAAAACUGUAAGAGGCUGGACCUGAGGGGAAAAUGCCUUUCUCCCAGUUUCCUGAUCUUUGUGUCUGGGAAUGGGGCUGUUUCCCCUCCUGUCCUGCAAUCUUAUUCCAGCCCAAGGCU